AAGCAGAAGCUGCGGAGCCGCUUCAGCUCCUCCGCCAUCUUACCGCCUCGGCGCCAUUUUAAGAAGCGCGCACGAAUCACCAAACCCACCAGCAGAUGCCAUCAUCUACCUUUUAUUUUUGUAAUUGAUGAGAUUAUACCGUGUUCUGCCACCACAAGAUAAAUUUCACGCCGUAAGCUAUUAGUAAUCAACCAAAUUCGGAAAUGGCCGGGCCUUGAGACACCGAAUCGACCUUCGGAUGGCGCGCCACGUUCUCCCACACUGAGCCACCCCUCAUUAAAAAUCGGUUUAAGUCCUAGACGUUGCUCACGUCCUAAUGCUAGGUGCUGGUGAUGCUAAUGAAAGAAAGUUUCUCAUUGUACCUGUGCAUACAUGUACUUGUGCUUAUUCCAAUAACUCAACUUUGACAUUGACUGAAAAGAAGGAAGAGUACCAUGGUUUUGGUAUAUAUCGAACGUAGAACUUCACAGCACAGCACAGGUCCUUCAGCCCGCAGUGUUGUGCCUGUCGUGUUCUGUAACUCCAGAAACUCAUCAACAGGAAAACACAGAAGCCUGGGAUAACUUGUCUACUUCUUUUGCUUUAAUACGAGGAAAUCUGCAGAUGCUGGAAAUUCAAGCAACACACACAAAAAAU